rnacentral:rRNA from 1 species
GAUCAUUAAAGAGUAAGGGUCAUUCGUGGCCCGACCUCCAACCCUUUGUUGUUAUAACUACCUCGUUGCUUUGGCGGGACCGCUCGGUCUCGAGCUGCCGGUCUUAGGCCCGGCAAGCGCCCGCCAGAGUCCAAUCAAACUCUUGUAUAUAACCGGUCGUCUGAGUUAAACUUUUAAUUAAAUUAAAACUUUCAACAACGGAUCUCUUGGUUCUCGCAUCGAUGAAGAACGCAGCGAAAUGCGAUAAGUAAUGUGAAUUGCAGAAUUCAGUGAAUCAUCGAAUCUUUGAACGCACAUUGCGCUCCCUGGUAUUCCGGGGAGCAUGCCUGUUCGAGCGUCAUUACACCACUCAAGCACUGCUUGGUAUUAGGCCUUCGUCCACCUCAGUGUGGGCGUGCCUCAAACACCUCGGCGGAGCCUCACCGGCUUUGGGCGUAGUAGAAUUUCUCAACGUCUUGCAAGUACCGGUUUGACUCCUUUGCCGUUAAACACCAAACUUUUUUUACAGGUUGACCUCGGAUCAGGUAGGGAUACCCGCUGAACUUAAGCAUAUCAAUAAGCGGAGGAAAAGAAACCAACAGGGAUUGCCCUAGUAACGGCGAGUGAAGCGGCAACAGCUCAAAUUUGAAAUCUGGCACUUGUGUCCGAGUUGUAAUUUGUAGAGGAUGCUUUUAGGCAGCCACCGGUCUAAGUUCCUUGGAACAGGACGUCAUAGAGGGUGAGAAUCCCGUAUGUGACCGGACAGGCACCUUCUGUAAAGCUCCUUCGACGAGUCGAGUUGUUUGGGAAUGCAGCUCUAAAUGGGAGGUAAAUUUCUUCUAAAGCUAAAUACCGGCGAGAGACCGAUAGCGCACAAGUAGAGUGAUCGAAAGAUGAAAAGCACUUUGGAAAGAGAGUUAAAAAGCACGUGAAAUUGUUGAAAGGGAAGCGCUUGCAAUCAGACUUGUCCUCGGGUGUUCCGCCGGUCUUCUGACCGGUUCACUCAUUCGGGGACAGGCCAGCAUCACUUUCGGCGGCCGGAUAAAGGCACUGGGAAUGUAGCUCAACCUUCGGGGGGAGUGUUAUAGCCCGGUGUGUAAUACGGCCAGCCGGGAGUGAGGUCCGCGCU